GUGCCAGCAGCCGCGGUAACACGUAGGGUGCAAGCGUUGUCCGGAAUUAUUGGGCGUAAAGAGCUCGUAGGCGGCUUGUCGCGUCUGCUGUGAAAUCCCGAGGCUCAACCUCGGGCCUGCAGUGGGUACGGGCAGGCUAGAGUGCGGUAGGGGAGAUUGGAAUUCCUGGUGUAGCGGUGGAAUGCGCAGAUAUCAGGAGGAACACCAAUAGCGAAGGCAGAUCUCUGGGCCGUAACUGACGCUGAGGAGCGAAAGCAUGGGGAGCGAACAGGAUUAGAUACCCUGGUAGUCCAUGCCGUAAACGUUGGGAACUAGAUGUAGGGCCGGUUCCACGGGUUCUGUGUCGUAGCUAACGCACUAAGUUCCCCGCCUGGGGAGUACGGCCGCAAGGCUAAAACUCAAAGGAAUUGACGG
rnacentral:rRNA from 1 species